rnacentral:sRNA from 17 species
AGCUGAUGCACGCGAUGGCUUCCUCCCAGGUCCAUCGUAUCAGCUGUUCCCCUCUGGAGGUUUUUGACCUUCACAAUUAAAGGGCCUCGGUAUUCCGAUGGCCCUAUUUU